AGGGGGAGAUUGACACCGCCCCCACCCGCUCCCUUCCAGUCAGCAGGGCGGUGGCUACGUGAAGCACGGAAGGACUCAGCGCAGAACGCAGAGCUGGGAGCCGGAGCAUGGCCGCCAGGCCUGGGUGCUCAGCUGCCCCAGGGAGCCACCGCUGGAGCCCAGACCAUGCCCCACUGGAGCAGAAGUGAUUUCAGCCAGUCCCCAGAUGGAGGAGUCCCUGCAGAGCUCAGUCCCUCCUUGCGGAAGACAUUGUAAUCAAACACCUAAUGAUCUUGAACAGGCUUCCUCCCAGGAGAAGGAACCUGAACAUCCUAGGGUGCUUUGAAGGUGUACCAACCCUAGCCUAGAUAAAAAAAGUGAGUAUGACAUCUUUCAGAAGAAAGAUAGCCACCACGCAAGUCUCAAAACUUAAUCAUAGAAGAUGUAUGUAAGAACUAAGACUACAGCAGGGUCCUUCAGCAGAAUAUUUCUACGCUUGGUCUUUCAGAAAUAAAAAUGGACAGCCGAUUCCUUCGCAUGUGCACUUUGCACAGUCCGUUGUAGUGCAUUAGGAGAGAUGUUUAAGCUCACUGCCAUCUUCUCCGCAGAAGGAAAUACAGUAAAAGCUCCGGGGACUGUUUGGCUUAGACAUGCACUGAAGUCACGCAGAUUCAACUUGAAGAAUAUCAUACAUCAGCAGCUCCCGUUGCUCCAAAGUUAAGGCACCUGGCACCAGGUUUAAAUAGCUGAACUGUGUGCUGGUCCCCUUAUCCUCCAUCCCUGUGCCAUAAGGCACUGAGGAGCUUCUUAAGCAAUGCUGCACAUGAGGAUAUGAGAGAGACCAGCAGCCCUGCAGCACAUGAGUUUCUGAAUCAAAGCCGUGAUCACGUAUCUGGUAACAAAAAAAGCAAGAACUUUGGGAGAUAUGGUCAGAAAAUGAGUUUCAGGGCUCCAGCCCAACAUUAACAACUAAGUUUAUUUCCAGUGGUACAUAGUCACAACAAGUCCAAGGGACUUCUUUACCAGAAGUUAAUCAAAUGAGGGUCUGCAGAGCCUACCAGGCACAAGCUAUACCGUGAA